UUAGUGUGACAGUGAAGAAACAUAUUCAUUUUCAUCCCGCUCUGUAAGCAGGAUGGGAUCUGCAGAGACUUUGAUUCAUCUGCCGUCCGGACAUGGAGUGAUGUGGGUCUCCUCUAAUUAGACAGUGGGAUGCUGCAGGUCACUAGACUGACCGGCUGUGCUUUGGGAAGGGGAGGAGCUCACAGCGCCACCUGCUGCUUGUUGAGGACAAUGCACAAUGAGGGACGUCUGCAGCGACUGAGAAAGAGUCUCACCACAUCCUGACAUGAGGAAAAAGACUUUAUUGAAGACUACAAUGAGAAAAACUAUCAGACAGCAGAUGGCAUGCAUUCAAAUCUGUAGCUGCUGAAUUCAUGGAUGAAUCAUCUGGCACUAGAGAGGAAGACCAUCAAACAUCCACGUCAGCUGAUGGAGGUCCAAGAGUCUCACCAAACAAACAACCUACAGAGUGAAGACCUCGAAUCUUGAUUGGACGGCCUCCUAUUCAGCCACAUGUGUGAACAAAUGCCUCUAAGCUGAUUUGUUUUCUAAAAUAUAUCUAGUUUGUGUCCUAAUCAAUGCUUGUGUGUUUGCUUCUUUACACCGCU
ensembl:lncRNA